UACGUAGGGUGCAAGCGUUAUCCGGAAUUAUUGGGCGUAAAGAGCUCGUAGGCGGUUUGUCACGUCUGCUGUGAAAACCGGAGGCUCAACCUCCAGCCUGCAGUGGGUACGGGCAGACUAGAGUGCGGUAGGGGAGAUUGGAAUUCCUGGUGUAGCGGUGGAAUGCGCAGAUAUCAGGAGGAACACCGAUGGCGAAGGCAGAUCUCUGGGCCGUAACUGACGCUGAGGAGCGAAAGCAUGGGGAGCGAACAGG
rnacentral:rRNA from 1 species